CGAUUUUCAACGAACGUUUGGGGAAAAGUUGUUGAAAUACAUUGCGAUUUUGGCUCCGUUUAUCUCGUUUUUUCGAAGGUAUGUUUUUAUAUUUGUAUUAUUUAAGACCCUAAUUAAACUAUUUUUGAUUUGUUUGGUACAGGAAUUGCUUUUUACUUAUGCUAAUUACGUAUUGUAAUGAUGCUUGAUUCGGGUCAGUGGACACGGCAAUAAAAUGACCUUGAUAUAAUGCAGAAGCAAACUCACUUUUUUUUUAGGAAAAUAAAAACAAAACACGUCAUCGAAUUCGGGAUGAUUUUUUCUUUCUACUGUUACUUUAAAACAUGAGUUUGCUCCACUAAACCGACAAGUAAUCGCGGUUUGAAAAUGGGGUACUUUCGCUAUAUUCUAUCGCCGAUGGCGGGAAUAGACCUCCUGAUAAUCAUCAUGGCGCGAAGGAAACUAUUGUACUAAAUCACUAUUUUCCAUGAUAAUUUUGAAACAUAUGCAUAUAUGUUCCUACAUAUUUUAAGUUUAAUGUAAUUUCUAAGGUUAGAUAUGCUUUAUAUGUUUACUGUACCUGCACUGACUGUAUUUUUUUUCAUUUUAUUAUAGAAUUCGGCUAUUUUGGAGUAAACUGGAAAUGACAGUGGGCCAUUCCAUUUAAUGUACACCCCCCCCCCUGUGGACGAAGUCAAUAAAAUUUGAACCCCUAAGAAAAAAAGAUCAAAGUGCCGACACAAACACCCCUCCAGAAAUUACAGUGCGUCUACUGUAAGUGGGGCCACUUAGAGAACACUAACCAAUCACAUUGCAGAACAGAAAGUGAAAAAAUCAACAAACGGCGCAUUAGCCAAUCAGCAUUUGGGCAAAAACAAUUCGAACAAAUAAACGAAUGUCAAACGGUAAAAAUAGACAUGUAAAAGUAAACAUUGCAGUUAAUGGCUUCCUGAAUCUUUCUUUUGAUUGGACGAGCUUUAGUUUGAUUAGAUUUUUCUUUCUGUUCUGCAAUGCGAUUGGUUAGUGUUCUCUAAGUGGCCCCACUUACAGUAGACGCACUGUAAGAAAUUUUUGCCUUACCCCUCGGAAAAAACGCAAAGAUCAAAGGAUGCCGAUGCACACAACCCCUCAGAAACGGCUUUUUCAACCCCCCUCAGAAAUUUUCGUCCACAGGGGGGGGGGUGUAUAUUAAAUGGAAUGGCCCAGUUAAUGAUACUGCUAUAAAACAGGUAUAUACUUCAGUGAAGGUGAUACCCCAGGGAAACCUAAUAAUAAGAGACACAGAAUUUCUCGUUUGAAGAAUUCAACAUCAAGCCGAACUUUGCUUUAGAGUCCUGGAACAUCACCAAUGCCAAGGUGUAAAAGUACAAAGGUUUUUACAAACAUAAUUCAUAAAAUACAGUACGACUACACAAAAACAUAAUUGUAUAUUUUUAAUAAGACAAUAUGUUAAAUAUUAUGCUAAAAGUUAUUAUCAUAGUAACAGUAACAUUGUAUUUUAAUGCUUUUUUGCCUGGGAGAAUUUCUGUCCAUAGGCAUAUGAGGCUGGGCGUUGCAACCCCUCCAGUCAGUGUUUAGUAUUUCUGCAAGUCUGUAUAGGAGAUGUGUUCCUUCUAUUUUAUACCUCUUGUUCAUCUAUCAAUAAACUCAUGACAAUGUCGGGCAAUUUCUAUCCACCCGUACGCCAAUAUUAUUUUUCAAUGCUGGGAGUGGCAUUCCAGAAAACCUAUAGUACACAAAUUUCCUGGAGAAGCAUGCCCACAAUCCUGGUAAAAAUCCACGAGUUUCUUUGUUGUCUAAUUGUGCUGGUAGGCAGCCUGGCACUGACACUGGCACUGCCCCUCUCACUUUUGCUGUUUGUUUUGUAGUUUCCUAUCAGACAGAUUAAACUGACUCCUCCAAAGAAAUUCCCAGUAAAACUUCAUAAAUGGACAUAUUUUGAAGAAGAUAAAGCAUUCAUUGAAUUCAUAUCUGUUGCAGACAAUCAUGCAAAUGAUUGAUUGAAGAGGCUUACCAAUUAUGUAAUAUCUCUAGAGCAAAAGCAUCACCUUUCAUAUACUUCAUCAUAUACCAUUCAUGUGUACUGGUGAAAUCAAUGUGAUGCAACAUUUUAAAAACUUCUCUUUACUUUUGCACAUAAAAUUUUAUUUUUAAAAACAUUCUAAUUAUCUUUAAGUACAGUAAUAUUAUGUUAAUAUUUUUUUGAUUUAAAAUAAAUCAAUUUUAUCAACAUCAAUUGUGUAGUGUGUGAUCUUUUUAUUAAAUGUGAUGAGCAAGGGAACACUACACUGAAAACCAUACAUAAUGUGAACCUCCGAAUAUAGCCCCCCCCCCCCCAUGUAUAAGCCCACCACAUGUACUAACACUCAC